rnacentral:rRNA from 1 species
UUCCAGACUCCUACGGGAGGCAGCAGUGAGGAAUAUUGGUCAAUGGGCGAGAGCCUGAACCAGCCAAGUCGCGUGAAGGAUGAAGGAUCUAUGGUUUGUAAACUUCUUUUAUAUGGGAAUAAAGUGAGGAACGUGUUCCUUUUUGUAUGUACCAUAUGAAUAAGCAUCGGCUAACUCCGUGCCAGCAGCCGCGGUAAUACGGAGGAUGCGAGCGUUAUCCGGAUUUAUUGGGUUUAAAGGGUGCGCAGGCGGCACGGCAAGCCGGCGGUCAAAUCGCGGGGCUCAACCCCGCCCAGCCGUCGGAACUGCCGGGCUAGAGUGGGCGAGAAGUGCGCGGAAUGCGUGGUGUAGCGGUGAAAUGCAUAGAUAUCACGCAGAACUCCGAUUGCGAAGGCAGCGCACCGGCGCCCUACUGACGCUCAGGCACGAAAGCGUGGGUAUCGAACAGGAUUAGAUACCCCCGUAAG